UUCAAUCGGUAACAGAUUUUUUUAAUACAAUAAAACGGAUCCUCCAGAGUCAAUCUUAUCCGGUGUUUAAUGUAGCUUGGUUCUUCACACACUUAUACGAAACAUGAGCUACCUCUUGAUCAUAAACAUGCGAUUGCUUAUGAUUGGAAUAGAGCAUAAAAAAUAACCUUGGGCAAUGAACCACAUGCUGCUUCACAAAGUGUAAAUACAAAGACGCUAUUAUCUGAUGACAUGUAGCAGCCUGCUCUAGUAAAAAUUCCAUUACAGUGGCGUUUAUAGGGCGUCAUUAAUGUCCAUUUCCUCAAUACGUCAUUGCCCUGUGCUUCUUUUGAUUCCAUUUGUCACUGCUGGGUUGUAAUUAGACAUGCUUCUGUCUUGCUGAUGUCUCCAUUUUGUUUUAGUGCCUACACACAUUUCCCAGAGAAUGGAGACACAUGUCUGGGACCCUCGCCCACAAACAAAUGAACUUAGAUUAAUGGACAGACAGCUGAUUGUGAAAUAAUAAAAAAAAAAAAGCAAAAAUGUGGUAAAACAGUGGAUUGAAAUAGACUUUGCCAUAUCCUGCAUCUGCACAAGACAGCUGUUUUAGCUCCUUUAAGUCAAAUUGUAGCUACCCGAUCAGCUGCAAAUGCUGUAAAACAAAAACCAAAUAAAUCUACAAAAAGUAGUUAUGAUCUCUUUUACCAAAACCUUUGCUGCUUGUUGUGACAGAACUCAGUUGUUAUCAACCAGGAAAUUUGUCUGAGUCUUACUGGACUCAGGGCCAAAACAAAUGCUACCAGCUGCUGCCUCCUGCUCGGGCUCACGGGGCGGUGAGCACACACGUAUCGCAUCAUUCUUAAGCCGAUGCGCAUUUCCCGUCCUUGUUUCCCACCGCGUAUGGACAAAGUGCUACAGACACAUGGCGUCACAUGGUUGCAGUUAGCACCAGGCCUUUUCUUGUCUUACAGUCUGUUUUUGUUAGCUCUAAGCAGAUGAGCAAGGGAGAUGUUGGACGAGGGCUACAAGAAGAAUGAUUUGAUUUGAUUUGUGUAGCUUUUCAUGAGUAAUGGAAAUACUAUGGCAGCUCAAAGUCGAACACUUGUACAGUUCAAACUGUUGUUAAGACGAAAACUGGGAUGACAACCGUCACACCAGAAAGUGAACUUGGUUACAGGGUCUGACUGCUCAGUACAUUGUCUGUUGGGAUUCUUCAAAAGGUAGGCUCGCAUGUGAGCUGGAGCCGAUCCCAUCUGAUUUUGGGCUAGAGACGGGGUACACCAGCCAAUCACAGGAGUUAGGAGAGUGAUUCCAGAUGGAGGCAGUCUGUGCUUAAGCAGCAUCAUCACCACUAGUGCUGUGAUUCAAUCCUGUUCCAGUGUUGGCCAACUGUAGAGGUUAUGUUCUGUUGAAGUCUGUUUUUUUAAUGUUGCCAAGUGUGGUCUAUGGAGAUUCGUUACCAAUCAAAGAUGUUAAAAACAAAAGCAGGUGUUUUAUGUAAGAUAUAUUUUGUAUCUUUUCUCCAUUCGUGGAAACUCUAUCGCAAUCAAUAUGCAAUGCAGAGUGUAUUUAACGCUGGGUGGAUUCGAUGACUUUCGAUGGCCAAUAAUGUCUGUGAAUAUGAUAUAAACUAGACCAUCAAUAAGAAAAGCAGGUGCUCGAAUGCAGUUGUCAGGCAAAGCAGGAAGUCUAGUACUUGGUAUAUGGGAGAAUGAUGCGGUUAACUGCAACGCAUUAGUCACCAUUAGAAAAAAAACAUUUUUGACACUGUCAUAUGUUUUAUGGGACAAAUUAUUGGGAGUGAGUGUCAAAUGCUAUGAGGACUUAUGUUGCAUAAAUUAUUCAAAUAUGUUUUAUUAAGACUGUCAGCAGUAUGGUUUACGAGUGGUUAGCAUGACUGCUUCACAGUUCUGCAGUUUAGGGUUCAAAUCUCAGAACCGGCUUGGGCGGGUUUGUGACAGGUGCUCCGGCUUCCUGUCACAUCCUAAAGGUUAAUUGAAUUGUGAAUGUUUUUUUUUUUAUUUAUUUAUUUUGGGUCUACUGUACAUAAAGUACCUAAAGUCCAGGAUGUACCCUGCCCAAAGUCAUCAGGAAUAGGCUCUAGCUCACCCGAGUCCUUCAAGAGUACGAGUGACGCAGAGUGGAGGAAUGGACCGUACUGUGGGGAAUUUAUUUGAGUAUGAGUGAUUUUGUCUUGAAGCAGUUGAGGCAAAAUGGAAUGCAAUAUUUGGCUGCAGCCAGCAGAGGCGCUAUCGACUCAGUUCCAACUAGUUUGUCGUCUGAAGAACAACCUCACGUCCGCUAUGCUAUUUGUGACAUUGUGUUUGAUGUAUACAUGAAACAAUAUUAUCUAUGUAUAAAAGCACAUAUUCCUUGUUACUUUCUGUCGUCUAAAAUGAAUACGAAAAUUACAUAUUUUUGAAUUGUCAUAUACAGUAUUAUAUUAACCUUUAACCAUUCUCAAACAAGGAAAACUUUGCCUGCCUGUUUCUAUGUCUCUGAAACACUCACACAGAAAUAUGUGCUUGAACAGAUCAGAACAGAUUAUUUUAAAAAAAAUUUGUUCCAUAGCAGCAGUUGUGUAUAUAAAUAUAUAAACACUUUACCACUUAUUUCCAAGGACCAAGUUAAUGGUUUAAGCCUUUUCCAAAUGGUUUCCUUGCUACACGUACACACAUUAACGUCAACCUCUCAAACACGCUGCAACGUUUGGAUGGACACCAAAGUGUAGAGACAUAACUCCACUGGACAUAAAUAUCUCAAAUUCGCAUUCAACCGCAUCCAAGUGCCAUCUAAGUGGGAAUCCAAAAGCUAGCACGAUCUGUUUUACUGUGGAUUCACUUCUAUUCCAGUUGGUCACAAUUAGAGUUGAAAAAGCGUUACAUGACUGCUUUUCCAGACUUUAGCUCACCUGUCAGCUUUUGCUUAAAGCGCAUACCAAUAAUUUGAGGGUUAUUGUUUCCCCCUUCCUUCUUAAAGUCAGCAAAAGCCCUGUCGUUGAAUGUUUUUAAAAUACUACCCUGACCAAUUAUACUGUGGUGUGAGGUUUGUGGAGUGAUUUUUUUCCCUCCCCGAGCUGCUUUAAAAUGCACUUAUGCUAAUGAUUGACAUGUGAGACCCCCCCCACAAUGGUUGUACGGAGAGUGCCUGAAAUGAUGGCCAAUUGCGAAACAGUCACAGUUUGGAGGAAGGCUGUUCGUAGAUUUCAAAAAGUGGAAACAGGAAAUACUGCAGCUGUUUCUCAACAGGCAACAGUUUCUAAUCCUUUUUUUUUUUCAUAUUCAGUAACCUUAUGUGAAGUCUGUGAACUUAUGCUUCAUAAAUAAAAAAUAUAACCAUGUUAUCACUUAACAGCACUUGAAACCAAUCCAGCCUGAGGUUGUUGGUCCAUUUCUUCCCAGCAUGUGCGGUGUCAGCGUGGUGAUCCGUGUCAGCAAGAACAGGCUAAGGAAACACAUUCCUGCAAGCCAACCAUAUGUAGAGGAAGAGCAGUGGGUGGCAGUGACGUAAAAAACCGCUCAAAGAACAGACUAUUUCCCAAGUAUCCUGCAUCACAUUCCUGGAGAGGCUACACGUAAUCUCGACCAUCAUUUAGCUGUGGGACACACACUGAGGGCUGUUUAAUUCAGAACAGAUACAACCAUAGCUGAUCCUUUUUGUGGAUGAUUUCCCAAAUUUGGGUGUCUGGUAUUGCAAAAAAAGCUUUUUAUUCUUAACCCUCAGGCGCAAUCUAGACAAUGUACAAGUGCUAAUGACUGAAGUUCAACAUACACUGGAACCUCCAAUGUCGAACUUCCCUAAAGUAGUACAAUUCCUAAUUUUCAUGCAGGCAACGUGGCUUCAGUUCCCACUCAAUGACAACGUGAGUGCAAAUGGUUGUCUGUUUGUGUAGGUACCCUGCUGUGAUUGACUGGUGAGCAGUCCAGAGUGUUGUCUACCUUUGGCCCCAAAUCUGUUGGGAUAGGCUCCAGCUCACCUGUGACCCUACUGAGGAAACUGAAUGUUGCGUAAAAGUCAAGUGUCAAAAGUUACAAAAAAAUAAAAAAUAAAAGUACCUCGGAGUGGACUGGUCAUCAA